GAUGAACGCUGGCGGCGUGCCUAAUACAUGCAAGUCGAGCGAACAGACGAGGAGCUUGCUCCUCUGACGUUAGCGGCGGACGGGUGAGUAACACGUGGAUAACCUACCUAUAAGACUGGGAUAACUUCGGGAAACCGGAGCUAAUACCGGAUAAUAUAUUGAACCGCAUGGUUCAUAGUUAAAGACGGGUUUGCUGUCACUUAUAAAUUGAUCCGGGCCGCAUUAGCUAGUUGGUAAGGUAACGGCUUACCAAGGCAACGAUGCGUAGCCGACCUGAGAGGGUGAUCGGCCACACUGGAACUGAGACACGGUCCAGACUCCUACGGGAGGCAGCAGUAGGGAAUCUUCCGCAAUGGGCGAAAGCUUGACGGAGCAACGCCGCGUGAGUGAUGAAGGUCUUCGGAUCGUAAAACUCUGUUAUUAGGGAAGGACAAAUGUGUAAGUAACUAUGCACGUCUUGACGGUACCUAAUCAGAAAGCCACGGCUAACUACGUG
rnacentral:rRNA from 1 species